GCGCCCGCCCCGACCUGCCCUGCCGGGCCGGGGCGGGCGGGGCCGCUGGUAAACAGGCUGGGUUCUGGUGACACCGGGCGGCGGCGGAAGGCGGCCCGAGGGUCCCGCGCGUCCCACAACCCUCCAGUCCCGCUCUCCUGGCCUCUCCAGGCGCGUGUUUUGUCUUCCUGGCGCACCAACAUAUACACUUGUUUAUCUGCACAGCGCCAGCCUAAUAUCUGACCCCUGAUGUCGCAUCGUGGGGCGGUGGUCAGCAGUGCCAUAUCUGAGUUUUCAGCAGUGUGAGAUGGGUGUUCUAAUUGCACCUGUGGAUAAAGGCUGCACUCCUUUGGACGCGUGCACCCAAACCCAGAAGCCCGUCCCUGACCCCUGCUGACACAGGUGAUCCCUUCCUCCUAGGCUCCGCCUUUGCACCUUGGACCGUGGCUCCCCGGGUACUCUUAUCUCUUUGCAUGCUGUUCUUUCCUGCUGGGUUGCCAGAUUUUGGAAAGCGGAGGCGAUGCUGAAUUUAUCUGUGUAUCCUUAGUGUCCGGCACCGUGUUUGGAUCUCAAGGGGAGCUCAGUGAAUUUGAUGAAUGAACAUGUAAUUUAACAAAUGCUCGCUUCCUUUCGGAAAGGCUUCAUCUGGCUUCCCCAGAUAAUUUCAUGUCGCCUCUGCUGCAGUCCACUUCCUAUCACGAAUCUCUACCUAUUUAAACUGCACUCUCUCUACUCUUCAUUUACUAUUUUGAGGUUUUUCCAAAUAAAAAUCAUACGUCAGCAUGCAACCUGCAUUUAGGAUCCCCCCUUCGGUGUCCUGGGCUAGCUCCCGUCGCAGUUCUGACUCCUAAGAUGUGACAGGAAGGGUGGGGUGGCAGCCAGGUGUGCCGCUGAGGACAAAGGAGUUCUCAGUGUCAGGCACCUCGGUGGCCUUGGGAAAAUCACUGAAACAUCGUAUGGGGGUCAUGUCUUAACCCUGUACCUCCAAAGAUUUCUUCUGAAUCCCCUAUUUUUUCUGUUAAUUUAAUAUAAAAGUGGGAACUACUUAAAAAUAUUUUAAAUUGUAUUCCAAUUUGAUAUUCUCAAUAGAAACAGAAUACUCUUUUGACUUAUGCCAUUUUCUGGCAAUUCUUGAGGACGAAUAAAAGCAUGGA
rnacentral:lncRNA from 1 species